rnacentral:miRNA from 1 species
UAUUAGGUUGGUGCAAAAGUGAUUGUGGUUUUGGCCAUUGAAAGUAAUAGCAAAACUUGCAACAACUGUUGCAUCGAUCUAAUAA